GUCAGUCUGACAUCACUAAUUUCAAAGUUCCUUUUCGCGUUUAGUCUGCGGUCGCCCAGUGAAAGUUAUUGCAAUUUGCUACAGUUAUACUGUCUCAUUCAGAGUGCAAUAGAAUCUUUCUUUACCGAUUAAAAAAACUUAACUAGCUGUGCUAGAGUAAACACCAUCAAAUUUGUGACGUCGCGACGAGCUAGUGCGGAAAAUUCGAGAUGGCGUCGCCAGAUGACUUUCGCAUCUUUCUGGUUUACGAAGCCUACUUGUUCGGUUAGAGUGACUUCGUUUUUUUGGUAUUGCAGAAGGCUCUCUUACAUUUACAGCCAAAAUCAUCUUGAUAUUUAGUGUCUCUCAAAGCUUCGUCUAAAGAAGAGACGCGGCAUAUCGCAGCGUGUGUUGGAAAGUUUUAACCAUACAGCGGCACACAAGACAAGCUAAUCAUCAGCGUCGAUGUGCCUUACGUGGUGGUCUAGCGGAUAUGACGUUCUGCAGCCGACCAGACGGUGGCGCAUUCAAUCCCCUGCAACGGCGGCCCCAUUCCGAUGCAGACGAAACACAAAAAGCAAAAAAGAAAAAAAGAAAAAAGGAAGAUUUAGGUGCACCUUAAAAAACCCCUGGUGGUCAAAAUUAAUCCGGAACAAUCUUCAUCACGGCCUCCCUCAUAGCACACUGGGCUGUUUCGGAAUGUCAAAGCACCGUAUUUAAUUUCGGCCUUGGUGUAGCGGUCCUCCACAACACCAGUCUGUACGCUAAAUCAGCGUUGCCUAAAUUGACGGAUGUUUUCCGACCUGUGACCAUGCUUCAGAGAUCCUGGCAAAUCGUAGGUAACGUGUCGGUAUCACCUCAAUCUUUGCAGUCGCCCCAGUGCUUGUACUUGCAUAGAAAUAUUGCGUAGUAUUUGAAAUAGAAAUACAGUGCUUGCACUUGCAUAGGAAUAUUGCAUAGUAUUGGAAAUGAAAAUACAGGGAUAUUUGAGGAAAGCGGCAGCCGGUAACUCCCCAGUAACUGCUGACUACGUACUAAUGAAAAAAAAAACUCCCUGAUCAUCGUUCAAGUAAAAUUACGUGUUGUUCGUUGAUGCUACCCGUUGUUGUUUUAUCGUACUCGCAGUUUCUCAAUACAAGCGAACCAAUAUGGACGUACAAGACAACGACCACACAGCGAGGAUAUGACUGCAAUGUGGACGUAAUUGAUAACAUAAACAAUAAUUACGUCCUCUUUCGGAGAUUUCUUGGCUACAGAAAAGUUAUAAUCAGCGACUUCCAGCAGUUUCUCGAAGGUUACCUCUGGUAUAGCAGAUCUCCAGAUGAUCCGAAAAGCCAGGUCUAUAAUGCCCUGAACGUGAGCUUUCGGGGUGCUACUCCUUCUAGCAGGGAAAUAUUAUUAUACCAAAGGGCAGACAACGAGUGUGGUGUAGUUGCUGUUUAUGAUCUGGUGAAUGGUAAGUAUGCGUUCAAUUCGUAGCGUAACUUAUUGCAAUACUGUGAAAAGAAUUAUUGCGGGCACAUUUCGCAACAUUUAAAUUUAGGCUCGCCGAA